UGAGGAAUAUUGGUCAAUGGGCGAGAGCCUGAACCAGCCAUGCCGCGUGCAGGAAGACGGCCCUACGGGUUGUAAACUGCUUUUCUGGCGGAAGAAAGUACCGCACUUGUGCGGUAUUGACGGUACGCCAGGAAUAAGCAUCGGCUAACUCCGUGCCAGCAGCCGCGGUAAUACGGAGGAUGCAAGCGUUAUCCGGAUUCAUUGGGUUUAAAGGGUGCGCAGGCGGUGGUAUAAGUCAGUGGUGAAAGCCCGGGGCUCAACUCCGGGAUUGCCAUUGAAACUGUAUCACUUGAGUGUAGUCGAGGACGGCGGAAUGAGUUAUGUAGCGGUGAAAUGCAUAGAUAUAACUCAGAACACCGAUUGCGGAGGCAGCUGUCUAGGCUACGACUGACGCUGAGGCACGAAAGCGUGGGGAGCGAACA
rnacentral:rRNA from 1 species